rnacentral:lncRNA from 1 species
GAAAUUUGCACUUGUAGUUGCUGCUAUUUUUGGAACCAAUGAAAAAGUUUCACAGAUUAUUAACUUUUAGUAGUUGAAGAUUUUUAGAUUGAAAGAUUGCUGGGAGAGACAACCUCGCCAUCUGAUUAACGGCAUGAAUUUCUUCUUUAUAAUGUUCAACUACAGUAUGAAUUGGCAAACAUUUUCUCUAAAGCUCAACACAGUAAAUAUUUUAAGCUUUACAGGGCCAUACCAAACAGGUGCUGGACCAGACCUGGACUCCCUGGGGCCACAGAGCUUCAUUUGAACUAAGUAGAAGACUGCUCUGGUUAGAGAGAAUCUCCGAGAUGCUCUGGAAGAACAAUGGCCAAGCAAAAUUCUCCCGGAGGACAGAGUCUGUGGCAGUCUUUCUGGGUGACCAGAGUCAAGAGAACCUUUCGAGCUGUUUACAACUUUCAGCAAUCUGAGUAAAGUAUACUCCUGUAAGCAAAAUUAGCAUAUUGCUUUCUCUCUACCUGACUUCUUCAGGGUUUAGAAACUAUUUUUGAGUAUUCUCAACUUACGGCAAUAUAGUUAUUUGCGUAAGUGCAAUGAAAAUCUGUUUUCUUUUGUAAUAGAAAAUGAGUGGAG